rnacentral:rRNA from 1 species
GACGAACGCUGGCGGCGUGCUUAACACAUGCCAGUCGAACGGAAAGGCCUCUUUCGGGGGGUACUCGAGUGGCGAACGGGUGAGUAACACGUGAGUAACCUGCCCUUGACUUUGGGAUAACUUCAGGAAACUGGGGCUAAUACCGGAUAGGAGCUCCUGCUGCAUGGUGGGGGUUGGAAAGUUUCGGCGGUUGGGGAUGGACUCGCGGCUUAUCAGCUUGUUGGUGGGGUAGUGGCUUACCAAGGCUUUGACGGGUAGCCGGCAAGUGAGGGUGACCGGCCACAUUGGGACUGAGAAACGGCCCAGACUCCUACGGGAGGAAGCAGUGGGGAAUAUUGCACAAUGGGUGGAAGCCUGAUGCAGCAACGCCGGGUGCGGGAUGACGGCCUUCGGGUUGUAAACCGCUUUCGCUCGUGACGAAGCUUUGUGUGACGGUAGUGGGUAAAGAAGCACCGGCUAACUACGUG